UACAGAGGCCUCAAGCGUUAUCCGGAAUCAUUGGGCGUAAAGGGUGUCAAGGCGGUCAUGUUAGUCGUUCGUUAAAUCUGGGGGCUCAACCUCCAGCCUGCGAGCGAAACGGCAUGACUAGAGGUUGGAAGAGGUGCGUGGAACUCACGGUGUAGGGGUGAAAUCCGUUGAUAUCGUGGGGAACACCAAAGGCGAAGGCAGCGCACUGGUCCAAAUCUGACGCUCACACACGAAAGCCAGGGUAGCGAAUGGG
rnacentral:rRNA from 1 species